rnacentral:rRNA from 1 species
GACGGAGGAUGCAAGUGUUAUCCGGAAUCACUGGGCGUAAAGCGUCUGUAGGUGGUUCGAAAAGUCCACUGUUAAAAAUUGAGGCUUAACUUCAAAGAUGCCGUGGAAACUUUCAAACUAGAGUAUGGUAGGGGUAGAGGGAAUUUCCAGUGGAGCGGUGAAAUGCGUAGAGCUCGGGAAGAACAUCGGUGGCGAAAGCGCUCUACUGGACUGCAACUGACACUCAGGGACGAAAGCUAGGGGAGCGAAUGGG